GAAGGGUGGCAAGCGUUGUUCGGAAUCACUGGGCUUAAAGCGCGCGUAGGCGGAAAUGUAAGUGUCUUGUGAAAUCCCUCGGCCUAACCGAGGAACUGCUCGGCAAACUACAUUUCUUGAGGCAAGUAGGGGUACAUGGAACUCUUGGUGGAGCGGUGGAAUGCGUAGAUAUCAAGAGGAACGCCAAAGGUGAAGACAGUGUACUGGGCUUGUCCUGACGCUGAGGUGCGAAAGCGUGGGGAGCGAACGGGAUUAGAUACCCCGGUAGUCCACGCCGUAAACGAUGUCUACUAGGUUGUGGGUGUUCUGACACACUCGCAGUCGGAGCAAAAGUGUUAAGUAGACCGCCUGGGGAGUACGGUCGCAAGGCUA
rnacentral:rRNA from 1 species